rnacentral:misc_RNA from 1 species
UCCGGGUUGGGCCCGGCAGUCUGGCAUGAAAAAUACAACAUGCCAUGGGGGUUACGCUCGUUAAGGGACUUAACCCUACAUCUCACGACACGAGCUGACAACAGCCAUGCAACACCUGUCCAACAGUCUCUUGCGAGAGGGCAACGUUUCCGCCGCUUGCUCCUGGAUGUCAAACCCUGGUAAGGUUCUUCGCGUACCGACGAAUUAAACCACACGCUCCGCUGCUUGUGCGGGUCCCCGUCAAUUCCUUUGAGUUUUAGCCUUGCGGCCGUACUCCCCAGGCGGAACACUUAACGCGUUAGCUACGAUACCGACGGGGUUGAUACCGCCAACAUCUAGUGUUCAUCGUUUACGGCUAGGACUAC